rnacentral:rRNA from 1 species
UACGAAGGGGGCUAGCGUUGCUCGGAAUCACUGGGCGUAAAGCGCACGUAGGCGGCUUUCUAAGUCAGGGGUGAAAUCCUGGAGCUCAACUCCAGAACUGCCUUUGAUACUGAGGAUCUUGAGCUCGGGAGAGGUGAGUGGAACUGCGAGUGUAGAGGUGAAAUUCGUAGAUAUUCGCAAGAACACCAGUGGCGAAGGCGGCUCACUGGCCCGAUACUGACGCUGAGGCACGAAAGCGUGGGGAGCAAACAGG